ensembl:lncRNA
UAAAUAGAUAGAUUUACAGGAAUACUGAACAAACGUAUAAAUGCAACAUGUGAAGUGUUCAUAUGCCAAAACUGUUAUGGGGGGUGGAUUAUCUUGGCAAAGGAUAAAUUCUCACUAACAGAGAUGAAAGCAAAUUUGUGCACAACAUUUUAGAAAAAUAAACUUUUUUCAACCCAAUUACAUGACCCAAAAUAUAAUUAUCAUAAAGGUAUUUGGUAUUUGGUCUUGGUGAAUUUAAAAAACAGAUAGUAGUUACAAUAAGUUAAUAAUUUAAAAUGCAACUAUAGGAUUUGGAUGUCACAUGUUGUAGGAAAGGUUUUCUAAUCUUUCAGUUAUUUUCCGUAUUAAUCUAACAGAUAAAACAUGUGCAAGCUGCUGUGUGCAAGAUGCAAAUAAAUAAGUAAUGUCUUUGGAGCCUAUAUGGUUAAGUAUAAAUACAGUCACUUGUAAGUAAAGGUAUAUGCAUUUAAAAUUUAUUAGCAGAAAAAAAACUAUAUGAUUUCUUAAGGAAUGUCACAAAUAUCAUACUUGACAUCAAAAUGUACAAUUAGGUGUGUUUUGUUUGUGUAUGUACUUGGGGGAAUGUACAUGAAAUACAUAUACAUUUUGCCAAUUAACACAGGCACAAUCCAUUGUGCAUUCUUCUGCCAAAGCAGGUCCUUAAUCAUAAGGCUGUCUCUAUGAGAGCUGGAAAACAAUUCAUUGGUGAAAAAAAUGCCAUAGGAGCUAUGACACAGGCACAAUCCAUUGUGCAUUCUUCUGCCAAAGCAGGUCCUUAAUCAUAAGGCUGUCUCUAUGAGAGCUGGAAAACCGUUCAUUGGUGAAAAAAAUGCCAUAGGAGCUAUGACACAGGCUAUUAGUUAGCCAGCAACUGUACCAUUAGCAGUGCCAAAGUGAGAGGCAAGAAAGCCAGACAGAAGGCAGUGGGUCGGGGAGCACUUCCUGAAUUGACUGAUGACUCUGAAAAAGUAGGAAAAAUAAAGAUAUGGUUCAGUGAAUGAUGAAAAUAGAUUGUCUUUUCGUGUUUCUGUUCAAAUGUUGACUUUGCUCUUACAUAUGUGUAGUUGUAUUGUGACAAUUAAUACAUACCAACAUUGGCGCUGCCCGGUAGGAUGUUCAGGGAGGUGGAACUCAUGGUGAAAGUUGCCUGUGCGCUGCAUGCGCUGGGAACCGAAGAUUUGUUCCUGAACACGAGGGUCAUGUUGGUAACUACAGAUCCACUCCUAGGAAAGAAAGUGGACAACCCACAGAAAUCAUUAUCAUCACUGUCAUAAUCAAAGUAUUCAAGUCGGUAAUGAGAAUUCAUACUUACUUGAAUGAGUUGACAAUGGAACGAAGGAAGUUUGGGGUUCCAGCAAAAAUCUUGUUCACCUGCAUUGAAAUAUUAAAAUAUGAUUACCAAAGGUUAACAGAGUCAAAGAGUCAAAACACCAAGCGCUACAAGAAGGUGCCCCAGACUCGUCUGCUAAUUGGGAUACUUUAGCUGUUUUUUUUUCUGAGAGAGGGAAAUGGUGUAAAUCAAGAUGACUUAAUGUGUUCUGAAAAAUGAGAUGUUGAGAAUCAUAAUAAAUAACGCUUUGAUGUCAUAGAACAAAGCCCAGACUGCUCACGAUUGACCUUGAUAUUGGAUGCCUGUCCAUGUCGUAAAGACAUCAGGAAAUCCCAUAAUCCCAUAACAACAGAUACAAAGGUUGCAGGUUCAAUACCAGUUGUAGACACUAGUUUAUUAUGUUUUUGUUUCAACUCUAUCCCAAACAUUAACCGUUAACUUAACCUUUCGGAAUGAAUGCCUAAACAUACUGUUUUAACCCUAUCCAAAACCUUAACCAUUAACGGAAAAUGUGUCAUACAUGAAUACUGACAUGCAAUACGUCAAAUUUCGAAGUUGCUCCAAACUUCAAAUUUCAAAGUUAGGAAUACGCCACUCAAAAACAGACUUUUAUUAUUUGUUUCAUUCGUCAAUUGUUGAUAUAAUCCUCAAAAUGUUUGCAUGUCAGCAAUCACAUUUUCAAGAUAUAAACCUCUUGAAACUAGGGGGCACUAUUUUCAUUUUUGGAAAAAUAAUGUUCCCAAAGUAAAUGGGCUAUUUUUCAGGACCAGACAAUAGAAUAUGCAUAUAAUUGACAGCUUAGGAUAGAAAACACUCUAAAGUUUCCAAAACUGUUAAAAUAUUGUCUGUGUUACGGUUUUCUUCCGUCGAAAGAGAGUCGGACCAAAAUGCAGCGUGGUAAGUUAGAUACAUGUUUAAUAAACUAAUAAACACGACAUACAAAACAACAAACGGAACGUGAAAACCUAUACAGCCUAUCUGGUGAAAUACAAAACACUGAGACAGGAACAAUCACCCACGAAACACUCAAAGAAUAUGGCUACCUAAAUAUGUUUCCCAACCAGAGACAACGAGAAUCACCUGCCUCUGAUUGAGAACGCCUCAGGCAACCAUAGACUUUGCUAGAACACCCCACUAAGCCACAAUAUAUAAAACCCAUAUAUAAACACAACACAAAAUAAACCCAUGUCACACCCUGGCCUGACAAAUAAAUAUAUAAACACAAAAUACUAAGACCAGGGCGUGACAGUCUGUGAGUAUAACAAAACUGAUAUUGCAGGCAAAAGCCUGAGAAAAAUCCAAUCAGGAAGUGACUCUUAUUUGGAAACCUCUGCGUUCCUAUGCGUCCCUAUUGAGCAGUGAAAGUGAUAUCAACCAGAUUCCUUUUUCUAUGGCUUCCCUAAUGUGUCUAGUGUCACAAGACAUAGUUUCAGGCUUUUAUUUUGAAAAAUGAGUGUGAGCGACAACAUUGUGUCAGUGGUCAGCUGGUGGCUCUCAGAGUGAUAUGUUUCUCUCGCUCCUACUAAGAAGCCAACUGACCCGGUUGAUAUAUUAUCGAAUAGAUAUUUGAAAAACACCUUGAGGAUUGAUUAUAAAAAAACGUUUGCCAUGUUUCUGUCGAUAUUAUGGAUCUAAUUUGGAAUAUUUUUCGGCGUUGUCGUGACCGCAAUUUCUGGUCGAUUUCUCAGCCAAACGUGAAGAACAAACAGAGCUAUUUGGCUACAAAAAUCAUUUUUAUGGAAAAAAGGAACGUUUGCUAUCUAACUGGGAGUCUCCUGAGUGAAAGCUCAUCAAAGGUAAACGAUUUAAUUUGAUUAGUUUUCUGAUUUUCGUGGCCAAGCUGCCUGCUGCUAGCUAGGCAUAAUGCUAUGCUAGGCGAUUGAUAAACUUACACAAAUGGUUGUCUUGCUUUGGCUGUAAAGCAUAAUUUCAAAAUCUGAGAUGACAGGGUGAUUAACAAAAGGCUAUGCUGUGUUUCAAUAUAUUUCACUUGUGAUUUCAUGAAUAUGAAUAUUUUCUAGUAAUGUUUUUUGUCCGUUGCGUUAUGCUAAUUAGUGUCAGUUGAUGACAAUUCUCCCGGAUCCGGGAGCGGUAGUUCCAAGAGUUAACAUUCAAAAUACAGAAACACAGCAGGUAUGAUCCAUUUUGCAUCAUAAGAUGCUGUGUUUGCUUCAUAUGAUGCAAAAUUCAUCACACUGGCUGUAUUUCUGCAUUUAAAAGUUGUUUAAUAUCUUAACGAUGCAAAACUGUAAAUAUGUCCCAUGCUGUGCACAUUGUACUCUCUGUUGCCCAUAACAGCUGUUAGGCAGGCACAAGGGUUCAUAGGCAGGCACAAGGGUUUAUGUCUACUAAGAAGACCAUUAAAAAAAGUCUGGACAUUGUUCUCAACGAGGAGGUCCAAGAGUACGAUAACUUUGCACUGAAUAAUCUUUGGUUCUAUCUAACAAUAAGAUGCCCACUGAUAUCCAGUCUCUUUGGUGUGGUGUGUAUUGAUGAAAAGGCAUUUGGAUACUUACCUCUGAGACUACUUUGCCAGCCAGAGCCUUGAAUGCUGAAGAGGACGGGUUGGCAAGAUCCGAGGUGAAUAUCUCAUCGAGACUGAACCGAAGAAUCAGGGUUCCUUCACUAGAAGAUGGAGGGUUAGUUAGUGCGACUGCAGUGGUGGUUGCUGAUGGAACAGCGGUGGUGGUGGUUGCUGACGGAACAGCGGUGGUGGUGGUUGCUGCCGGAACAGCGGUGGUGGUGGUUGCUGCCGGAACAGCGGUGGUGGUGGUUGCUGCCGGAACAGCGGUGGUGGUGGUUUUGGCCACUGCCGGAGGGGUCGUGGUGACAUCUGCAGUUGGAGCAGCAGUUGUUGCAGCGGAGGUGGUUGCAUUAGUCAUUGUAGUAGCGCCUGAAAAAUGCAACAUUCAAUGCAAUGUUUACAUUUUGCAAUUAAUAUUUUUUUUUUUUGAAAUAUUGGUCACAUACACGUGUUUAGCAGAUGUUACUGCGUGUGUAGCGAAAUGUUUGUGCUUCUGGUUCUGACAGUGCAGCAAUAUCUAACAAUUAAUAUCUAAAAAUUCCACAACAUAUUCCGAAAACACACAAAUCUAAGCAACGAAUGGAUUUAAGAAUAUAUAAAUAUAUGGGAGAGCAAUAUCAGAGUGGCAUAGACUAAGAAAACAGUAUAAUAUUAUAGAAUACCUUAAUAAACAUAUGAGAUGAAGUGCCUGAUCAGUUGUGUUUUGGGAUCUCAGGACAGAAUAAUAACAACAUAACUGUAUAUUUGAAUGUAUAUAUUUCCCAGUUGUCAGGGUCAUACCCAAAUUUUGGGGAACUGAUAUGAUUAAAAUUGAAACCAUUUGUGAGAAGAUGUAAUGUGAUUUUAGACUUCUUAACCAAGUCAGUGUAAGCACAGACAUUACGACAAAAGGAGGGAACACCCCUUUUCCCCCGAGUGCAUAAAACCCACUCGUGAGAAUGUACAAUUAGUCAAGAAAACGCAGGGACGGGAGUCCCCACGUUGAAAUGGCAACUACUCUAUAGAACAAGCAGACGGACAGUGUUGAACCGGACGUUGCGAAUGGUUAGGAAAUCUACAAAACUAAAGAUGCACACAUUCACAGUCUGCAACUGUAUAUGUGAAAUAGUCUAGGAAACUCGACCGAAGACGAGAGGAGAACAUUUCACAAUCAAACGACCGAAUUGUACUCUGAAAGAUCCAUUCUGGAGAACAUUUCCCUAUAGAACAACCAGUGGUACAUCUGACGUAUCCAUUGUAACAGAGCUACAACUAAGAAAGACUUUGAUCUCUGGUGGACACAGCCAGAGAAUUUCUGUCGACCGACUCUCCAGCAGACAGACCGAAGAUUUCGUCAAAGAGACAACAAGACAUACAGGCGUGAAUAUAUAUAUUGCAAUUCUUUUCAAAUGAGCGGCUGUUCAUGUGAAAAGUAUUAUCAUUUCAAUUAGCCUUUUUAUCAACUGUGUGUAGUGGGUCCCAUUAUGUCUUUCCCACUCUUUAUCUGUCCCCACCCCUGUCCAUUGUCUACCAAGCCGUCAUAUCGGUUUAGUCCACUAGGGACCCUUUAUUGCAUUGUUUUCGUAACCAAGAAGCAAGACGUCGGCGUCCGCAACAUGGCUGGUUUUCCUUUUGUUUCCUCUGGUUUUCCUUUUGUAGUCCAUGAUUGUCUGUAGACCCUGCCACAUACGCCGUUGAAUUGAGCCAUUGAAUUGUGAAUCCACUGUCUCUAUACUGACGUUUUGCCUGUUUGAUUGCCUUGUCGGAGGGAAUGACUACUCUGUUUGUAUUCUUCCAUAUUCCCAGUCACCUUCCAUGUUUAAAUGCGGUGGUUCGUGUUUUCUGUUUUACGCGAAUAGUGCCAUCUAUCCACGGUCUCUGGUUAGGGUUGGUUUUAAUAGUCACAGUGGGUACAAAAUUCCUAUACACUUCCUGAUAAACUCAGUUAUCGUUUUAGUUCGUCCAUAUUAUUCUUGGAAGCUACCCGGAAUAUAUCCCAAAACAGUCUUGAAGCAUGGAUUCCAAUUGGUCAGACCAGCAUUGAAUAGUGCUCAGCACGGGUAUUAACAGUUUGAGUUUCUGCCUAUAGGAAGGGAGCAGAAAAAUGGAGUUAUGGUCAGAUUUGCCGAAAGGAGGGCGGGGGAGGGACUGGUAUGCAUCCCGGAUGUUUGUAGUAACAGUGGUCUAGUGUUUUAGCAGCAUGAGUACAACAGUCAAAUUGCUGAUAGAAUUUAGGCAGCCUUUUUCUCAAAUUUGCUUCGUUCAAAUCUCCAGCUAAAAUAAAUGCAUCUUCAAGAUAUAUGGUUUCCAGUUUGCAUAAAGUCCAGUGAAGUUCCUUGAGGGCCAUCGUGGUAUCAGCUUGAGGGGGGAUAUACAUUUGAUUGUGAGGUAUUCUAGGUCAGGUGAACAAAAGGACUUGUAUGUUCCUCUAUGUUAUCACAAUUACAUAAUUUGUUGUUAAUCAUCAAACAUACAUCUCCUUCUUCCCAGCGAGAUGUUAAUUACUGUCGGUGCGAUGAACUGAUAAUGCAGAUUGCCUGACCAACUCCGACAGUAUAUCCCGAGAGAGCCAUGUUUCCGUGAAACAGAGUAUGUUGCAAUCCGUGAUGUCUCUCUGGAAAGAAACCCUUGCCCUAAUCUCGUCAACGUUGUUAAUCAGGGACUGAACAUUAGCAAAUAAUAUACUCUGGAGAGGUGUGUCAUGUGCGUGCCUUCUAAGAUGGACUAGAAGAACUCUCCGAGGACCCCUUUUUCACCGGCGUUGUUUUGGGUCAGCCUCUGGAAUCAGUUCAAUUGCCCUCGGUGGUGCAAACAAAGGAUCUGCUUGGGGAAAGUCGUAUUGCUGGUCGUAUGCUGGUAGUGCUGGUGAGUUACCGUCGCUCUGAUAUCUAAUAGUGCUUCCCAGCUGUAAUAAAUAACACGUACAUUUUCUGGGCUAACAAUGUGAGAAAAAAUACUGAAAAAAAAUUAACACUGCAAAGUUUCCUAAGAACGAGAAGCGAGGCAGCCCUAUCUUUCGGCGCCAUCUAGUGUUUUGAGUGUGUGAGAAUAGGUAAAGCGAUGUGUUGAUGAAUUGUCUUACGUGUGACCACAAUGGAGGAUGAAUUGAUAGGUAAUGUCAGGCCAGACGUGUUGGAAGUAAUGGCAGUUUGUAAGGUUUGUGCUACCAGGCUAUCGUUAGGCACUGAGCUGAUGUUGUUGAAUAUCAAUGUAGACUCCACCACAAUUGACCCUGACCUGAAAAUGAUAUGAGAAAUGUUAAGAACUUUUACAAGCGUUACUUCAGUAACAACCCACUCCCAAGGCAUACUAAAUAACAAUACUCAUUGAAAUGUUAUUUUUCUCCAUCAUCCACACUGUUUCAAAGUAUUUCAGAUGAUAAUCAUUUACCCACCUGAAACUAUUGACAACAGUUCGAAGGAAUCUGACUCCAAAUAGAGCCUUGAACAAAUUAUCCAGCUGAAAAAAAAUGUAUACAGAAGUUAUAUUAUAAUAACAAUUCAACAAUGUAAGGCUGGUAUCAAGAUGCCAUAUGAUGAAUUAUGACGAAGAUGAUUAUGAUUUUUGUCAUGCGUCUUUCAAACAACUAAUGACACUGUAUUAAAUUGAAUGAAAGUUACCUGUGUAGUCACAUGAUUUGCCAAAGCCAGGAACUCUGGUGACCUGCUGUUGCUCAGAGAGCUAUUGAAGGUAGAUGUCAGGCUGAACUGCAGUGACAGAAGUGGGCUGGUCAGUGGCGCCUCUGUUGCACGGGAUGCCGUUGUAGUUGGCACUUGGGUAGUUGUUACUGGGGUAGUUGCUACCAGCGUAGUUGGUAAUGGGGUAGUUAGUACGUCGGUCAAAUUGGUUAUCGGAGUGGUUGGAGCUAGAGAUGUUUUUACUACUGCAGUAGUUGGAGGAACUGUUGUGCUGACUACUGGGGUAUUUGGAGUUGCUGUUGUGUUGACUAUGGGGGUAGUUGAAGGAGCUGUUGUGUUGACUAUUGGGGUAUUUGACAACGAUGGGGUUGUAGUUGAUAGUGUUGUAGUUGUAUUGCUUUGUGUUACAGGUCCUGAUGUGACAUUGACAGCACUUUGGGCUGAUGUUAACACAUUUAUGGGCGCUGAUGUUCCAUUGGGCACUAUGUGUGUUGUUGACAUGUUCACAGGAUCGGAUGUUGCAUUGACAACCAUACUUGUAAUUGAUAUGUUUGAGGGGGCUGAAGUUGCAUUCAUGAUCGUAUAUGGUGUUGAUAUUGGAGGAUCUGGAGUAGAAGUUGUAGUUGAGUCAACUCCUGGAAGACCGCAAAUCAUCAGAUAUCAUUAUGUGUGUAUAACAGAAGAUGUAUUAAUCUUAAAGAAAAAAUCAACAUUAAGCAUCGUACACAGCUUUGACAACAUCUGAUCACUGUUAACGAUCAGAAUUGUAUUGUGACAUGACAAGAUAGAAUAGAUUACUUGAUGUCCAAUCAAUAAUCAUUUAAAGGAAUUUGUUUCAGUUAUAAUAUUCUUAGAAUGUUAAACAGUUAAGUAAUAUAGAGACCAGAUAACUCUAAUUAAUUUAAUAUACUCAAACUUAGGACAGUAAAAUGCAGAUAUAUAAAGAAGUGCAGCUGUAUUGUAACUUAAUAUUUAAAACACUUGAGGUAGAGAGAGUGCAGGGAAAUACUAAGUAACUUAGAGUUCAGAAUAUUAAAGUGUCGUACUUGUUGCCACGAUAGAAGUUGUGUUCACUGGGAGAGAGAAAUAAGAGUUGUUGCUUGAGACAUUCUCUAUCAAGGUUUCAACCACUGCACUGGACUCAGGGACUGAGCUGGCAUUGUUAAAUAUCAGCUUAGCAUCUACCACAACCGAACCUUGACUGGAAAACAAAA